AUAGGGGAGGACUGAAUCUGGCUUCUCACAUACGCUAAUUCUCUCAUAACCCUAAUUCAGUCUCUCUCUCUCUUCUCUUCUCUGGCAAACACGGCGAUGAAACAACAAAUGCUGGAGAUCAAAUCGGUGAUUUAGUGAACUUGGCUUCUAUGUUACGCUUUCUCUCAACUCUCUCUCUGAUUCUCACAAAAGUCUCCUAACGAUUGUUGCGAAACCCUAACUGGCGAUUCGUAUAGUCAUCAACCCUAAUCGGCGAUUCCUCUAAGCAUGAUGUGGUUGUGUCUAGCGGUGGUGGUUGUGUCUAGCGGCGGCAGUGGUGGUCUAAUGUUGAUGGUGGAGGAGUCGCGGCGGCGGUGGUUUUGUUUUACUUGAAUCUUCCUCUCAAUCUUUCCCUACGCCUUCUAAGGUUUUACAGUUUCGAUUCGCUUUUUGAAUUGGAACUGGAUUAUAAGUUUUAUUGAUUUUGAAUUUUGGGUUCUGUUUUAUUUUAAUAAUUAGUGUUAUUUCUUGGAUUAUUUUAAUAUGUAUAAAAUAGUAGAUGUUGAAAGAAGAUGCAAAUGGUGGAGAAGUUUAUCCAAUUCUUCAGGUAUAAUUUCUAUCGUUUAAUGUUUCCGCCAAUCUUAAUUAGGCUUUGUUUAUUUUUUUUUCCUUUUGGUAAUUGCGUUUUACAAAUCUUUAAGUGAUUACAUGAUUCUAUAGAUCAAGUAUAUCGAUUUGUAACAUUUGUGAUCAUUUGUGUUUGAUUUGGUUGUUUACAUGAUCUUCAUGAUUAGUUUUAAGUGUGGUUCAGAAAGUAAAUUUAUAAAAAUAUAAAAUGGGGCUUCGUCUGCCUUUCAAGUAUACCAGAAUUGAUCUUCUUAUCUUAAAGAGUUAAUAAAGAAGAAUAUUGUGACACCAUUGGUUAAGCCAUUGGUCAAAGUAAAUAAUAUGGCGGAUUUGAGGUGAACUCGGAAAAGUGGUUAAUAUGGCGGAUUUGAACUCAAGAUACGGAUGAUACUGCAUUUGUGACAGCACCAACAAAUGUGAUGGGAAUAUCUAGAUCUGAGAAAUUGAUUGAAGGAUACCUGACUAGAGCAGCUCAAUAGAGUUACAUGUUCUGUCAUAUUCUUUCUGGCAUUUACAACUUAACACAUAUUGCCUCUGGGGGAGACCUGUGCGAUCGAGCAAGGGAAAGAAGCAGUGUUAGCAAGGUACAUGCUUUUAAUCAUUAAUAUUCUGGCGAUGUGUACAGAAAACAAGAAUACGAUUGAUCAAAUCUAAUAAGCUACAAAUUUGUUUGUUUCUUCUUCUAUGAGUACGGUUCUAAGGGAUACGACGAUAGCUCUUGGCCGUUGCAGACUAAAAAUGGCAGGCAUGGUGGCGAGGUACGAUUGAUAAUGCAUUAUUCGGGUGCCAAUGCAAACAGUUAUUUGCCAUCAGCAAGUGCACCACAUGUGUCUAUGUACUCUACACCGCCGCAAUCUUCAUCCAUGAUUAAUCCACUUGUCUCUACCGGAGCUUAUCCUAUGCCGCCCGUAUACCCACCACUGGCAGCUCCUUAUCCCCCUCAGCCAUACCCUCCAGCUCAGCAGCCAUAUGGCUCCCACUAUUCUCAUGGAUAUGCAUAUCCAGGAGGGUAUACUACUCUAUACUGAGGCACAAUUCCUACUAAAGCUUUUCGGGUUUGCAUAUCUUGGACCAUUUGGGCAUUAGUACCACAUAUUGUUGGAUAAGUUGUUCAAGGGCAAAAAAGACUCGACAACGGUUGCCAAAAAGGUGUGGUUAUUAAGUGCCUAAUGAAGACUACAACAAAUAGAAAUCAAAGCAUAUAUGUUAGAUAUUGUGGCUGUAAGCUGAGAGGUACUAUAUGUAAAUGGAUAAUGUUGAGAUUGAAGAAUAUAAAAAUGGAGGGCCAUAGGCAGGAUGUUGCGAUUGAUUUUGGAAGUAUAAUGGACAUUCGAAGUAAAAAUGGGUGGCUUAGUUAUCCUGAGUUGGAAUUGUAUUUUUUUAAUGAUUCAAUUUGCGACUUAUAUAAUUUAAAUUGAUAUAAAAACAAUCGGUAUGGAUUCAUUAUA